UACGUAGGGUGCGAGCGUUGUCCGGAAUUAUUGGGCGUAAAGAGCUCGUAGGCGGUGUGUCACGUCGGCCGUGAAAACCUGGGGCUUAACUGUGGGCGUGCGGUCGAUACGGGCAUCACUGGAGUUCGGCAGGGGAGACUGGGAAUUCCUGGUGUAGCGGUGAAAUGCGCAGAUAUCAGGAAGAACACCCGUGGACGAAGGCGGUUCUCUGGAACGCAACUGACGACUGGAGAACGCGAAAGCGUGGGGAGCAAACAGGAUUAGACUACCC
rnacentral:rRNA from 1 species